rnacentral:rRNA from 1 species
GGAAGGGGAAGUAAUGGGCUACAUUCACUAACAAUAGUGUAUACGAACAGUGCACUGAAACGUGCACAUUGAAGGAGGAUUUAGCAGUAAGUGGAAAAUAGAGCGUUCCACUGAAAUUGGCCCUGAAGCGCGCACACACCGCCCGUCACUCUCCCCAAGCUCCACUAGCCUAAAUGCCUAAAACCUAAAAAAUGCAAAGGGGAGGCAAGUCGUAACAUGGUAAGCGUACCGGAAGGUGCGCUUGGAAAAAC